AUACGUAUAAAUUAAAAGGUAAUUAAUAAAAAAGAAAUGAAGGAGAGCCAGACCAAAGGGUUGGUUUAUUUGUGUUGUGCACAUAGGGCAUCUACGCAUGAUUUAAUACAAGAUUAUCUACCUUUUCUGCUCACAUUAAAAUUUUUAUUAUUUGAUAGCUAAGAUAGAGCACCAGUUGGUUGCAACCGUACAACCGAUCAGAAUUGAUGACAAUUGCAACUGUCGGCUUGGUUAUUUGGUGACUGUUGCUAGUGUCGGUUAUGACCGACGACUUUUAAGCGACUACGAAUCACUCACCGGGGGCACUCCCUCCCUACUUGAAUUGAUCAAAAAAUCGAGGGGGUGAAAUUCCAAUAAUAGGCCUCAUUAAUCCCCCAUCAAACCCCCUUUUCUUUCUUCCCCUCCCCCAAUUUCCAAUUGUUCUGACUUUGAAACCCUAAAAAUUAGAAACCUCCCCGACUCCCCCCUUUUUUCUUCCUCCUAUCAACCUGUUACUGCUUGUGGCCGUCUCUUGCCGUCAUCUAUCUUCCUCCUUGCCGGCUGCCUCAGUUUCAAGAUGUCAAAUGAAAUUGAGGAAGAUAUAAGUUUGGCAAUCAAUGACUCAGCAUCUACACCUCAUAUUGAUGCAAGUGCUACUGAAAGCAACAUAAGAAGUGAAGUGGUAAGUUCUAAACAGCGAAGCAAAACGAACCAUUUAAUACGUCAUCGCUUGUGUGGGAUCACUUCACAAAAUUUGAUACUGAUAAAGGUAAUCAUAAAGCUAGAUGUAGUCAUUAUGAUAAGGUUUCACAUGCUGAUACAAAAAAAAAAUGGAACAUCUUCUCUAAAUAAUCAUGUUAAGGUUUGUCUAAAAUUGAAAAUGCUCUAUGCUAGUGAAGAGAGUAAUCAAAUCAAAUUAUUUUUUUAUCAAAAAGAGAUAAGUCUUUGGGUAGUUGGAAGUUUGAUGAGGAUGCAAUUAAGAGGAGUUUAGCUGAGAUGAUCAUUAUAAAUGAGUUGGCUUUUAGAUUUGUGAAAGCUCAAGGGUAUAAGAAACACAUGAAGGAAACAUGUCCUAGAUUUUGUAUACCUUCACGAUGGACCAUUGCUAGGGAUUGUUAUAAAGGUUUAUGCUAAUGGAAAAACUUGUAUGAAAAAAUUUUUAAGAUCAUGUCCUAGUAGAAUAUGUAUCACUACAGACACAUGGACUUCGGUACCAAAAAUUAGUUAUUUGUGUCUGAUUGCUCAUUUUAUUUAUAAGGAUUGGAAGUUACAAAAAAAUAUUUGAACUUUUGUCCCAUUACUAGUCAUAAAGGUCAAGCUAUUAGGAAGGCAAUUGAUAAAUGUUUGGUUAAUUGGGGGAUUCAAAAGAUUUUAUCUAUUACUGUUAAUAAUGCUAGUUCCAAUGAUGUUCAAAUAGGACAUUUAAAGAAAAAAAUUAAUGUUGCUAGAACUAUUAUUUUAGGAGGUAAAUUUUUUCAUAUGAGAUGUGUUGCACAUAUUGUUAAUCUUAUUAUGACUAAUGGAUUAAAGGAUAUCAAUGACUCAAUUGCUCUUGUUAGAGCGACAGUGAGAUAUGUUAAACAAUCUCUUUCUAGAUUAACCAAGUUUAAGGAGUGUGUUGUUACUGCAAGAAUUGAUAGUAAGUGUUUAUUGUCUUUGGAUGUGGGCACCAGAUAGAAUUCUACUUUUUUGAUGUUAAAUACAGUUGUGAAAUUUGAGAGGGUUUUUGUAUCAUUUGAGUAUUGUGAUAGUAGUUAUAAAAGUGAGCUAAUGAAGAAUGGAAAUAGGGUGCCCGAUGAUAACGAUUGGGCAACUGUUAUGAGGAUUUCUCUUUUCUUAAAAGAGUUUUAUGAUAUGACUAUGAAUGUUUCAAGUACAUCUUAUGUUACUGCCAAUUCUUUUCGUGAUUCUAUUUCUAAUGUGUAUGGCACUUUGAAUGAAUGGCAACAAAGUCAUGAUGUUGAUUUGAAGUUUAUGGCAAUGAGAAUAAAAGUUAAAUUUGACACGUAUUGGGGGAAUGCGGAAAAAAUUGAAUUUGGUGUUAUACAUUGCCUCGAUUCUUGAUCCGAGGAAAAAGCUUGCUUAUGUUGAAUUUACUUUGGAAGAUAUGUAUGCUCCCAAGCAAGCCUUGUUGAUGUUUUCUUUGGUGAAAAAAACAAUGGAUGAGUUGUUUCAAUGUUAUAAAAAUAUAUUGCAACCUCAACCUUAAUCUCAUGUUGGUGAAAGUGGUCAAGAGUCUUAAAUGUCAACGAGACAAGUCACCGGUGGUGAAAGUGGGCAUGGCAGUGCUAUUGUUUCGAGUGGCAAGGACCUAAUAACUACUAAGAAAAGAUUGGGUGCAUUUAAGAGGCAUCAAUUAAACAAUGGCUUGGAGAAACAGAAAUCGAAAUUGAAUAAAUAUUUAUCAGAGUUUAUGGAUGAUGAUGCUAGUGAGGAUACUGACUUUGAUGUUCUCAUGUGGUGGAAACUCAAUCAGUAUAGGUUUCUUAUACUUGCAGCUAUUGCUUGUGAUGUAUUAAUAGUUCCUGUAUCAACAGUUGCUUCAAAAUCUGUUUUUAGUACCAUUGAACAUGUGCUUGCUGCAUAUAGGAGCUUUUUUACUCCUAAGGUCGUGUAAGCACUUAGUUGUGCUCAAGAUUGGUUAUGUGGAAAAGCACGUGGUGAUCCAGAGUAGAUUGAGGAUGAUUUGGACGAGAUUGAUAAACUUGAUUUUGGUAAUUUUUUCUUUGUUUCUUUAAUUUUCAUUUAAUUUACCAUAAUAUAGUAUCAUUCUAUAUA